AAAAUGUUAAAUCUUCUGACUCACUGAGUUAUCAUUAUUCAGUUUUUCUACCCAAUUAUGGCAUUUCAGCUGAGACUCUCUCUCUCUCUCUAAAGAUAUGGCUUUUUACUUAAGAAAACUGCACUCUCUACACUUCGAUUGCAUUCACAGAAACCUGUGAUUCGUUAAUGUUAUCAUGGCGUGGAUUUCAUAUCGAACCUGGAACUCGUGAGAUUCUCAAAACUUCAUAUGUAGCAUCUGAACAUAUAUUUGCUGCACGAUUCUUCUGGGUGGUGACAUAUCAAAGGAUAGUCCAUCCACAGGUCCUUUCCACCCAGAUGAUCAUACAAAUUAGCUCUUAGCUGAGGAUCCAGCACUAAAGCGCUUCAAAUCACAUAAGACAAGCGUUCGGCGAUUAAAAGUAGUAGGAGAUGCUCUUACAGUGCUAGUUGUAGCUGGUAUGCCAAUCUCUUCACCACAAAUUAUAAUUGAUUCUAUCAACUUUAUAUUUGCUCAAUGACUAACAGGGGUGCAAUACAAAACCUAGUGGGGUGUCAUGUGAUCAUUUUUGUUUAGCUAAUUUCUGUUUAUUGCUAAUAGACCUGCAACACAUAAAACCUAAGAGCUGUGGGGUAAAAGAGCCAUAAAAUGCAUUGUGGAUGUUGGGAAUUGGGAUGACCUAUAUUCUUUGAGUUGGUAUAAGAAUAAUCUGAUUAUUCACUUGAUUUAUUGACUGGUGAUCUAUUGACUGGUUAGUUAGGAAAUCAAGAAUGACAAUAAUGAACAGUUCAUAUAAUCUCUGCAUAUGUUAGUAAAGGUUCAUAUCACCACUUAGGGCUUGUAUCUGAUUGUUUAUUCUGGACGGUGACAUUUAGAGAGACUUUCUUUGCUGGAAUCUUAGGUGAUGUAGAAAUACAUUGUCUGUUAUAUAAGUCUGUCACAAAUAAAUUCAACUUCUCUUCUCUUCCAUGCAAUCUUGUUUCACUGGGAUACUUGUCUUUUACUCUAUUCUAUCAAGGAUUAAUCCCGCUGUUACUUGUAUUGCUCGUCUCCCUUAUUACCAUUAGGUCAUGGCUGAAGUGAAACGUGAAUACUGGGUCACACAUCUGAUAGUUGAAUAUAUCUGUGGAAGGCCAAGAGCUUCUAUGUCUUGCACUGUCCUGUCCAGUUUCUGCAACAGUCGGACUUCUGUUCUGUUGUGUUCUAUCAUGUUUGAGAAUGAUGUUUCAUAUUACUUUCCCAAGAGGCACAAUUGUGUCUCUAGUCGCACCUUCAAAUGACAUUUUGGAAUUUUUUUUUCAUUUUUGGGGUUCGUGACGAGGCAUAGAUUUGACUGAUAGAUUACUUUCAACUUGUUUACUAUGUGAAUGAACAUGAUAUACUUUUUAGGACUGGUUUGUUUGCAGUAUUUGUUAGGAUUGGACAGUAAAAUUGACAAAAUUCAACCUUUUCUUCUCUGCUACUGUUCCUAACUGUACAAUCAACUCUACCAAAGAAGCCAUUAAGGUCAAAUUUCUCGUUAUUAAUAAACUGGUUUCUACCUUGCUAUCCUUCACCUUUGUUACAGGAUGCUGCUACGAGAUUUAUAUUAAAGCGGAAAUUCGAGAAGAAGCCUGUAAUCAAGCGAAAGAGAGUGCAUAACUUUGGAAGCCCCAACAUUAACACCGUUUUCCAUCCUCUAAAGAGGGGGAUAGAUUUUUCGCCUAUAGGUGUUCCACGCUGUCAUGCAAAAUAUUAACUGAGCAAGGGAAAUGGACAUUAUGAUGAUAUGGUACAACAGACAUUUUUCCGGGACCCUAAUGAUUGACGGACACAGAGACUUUGAGUUAGUGGGACACGAUCAAAUUGUUUAUCUUAAUAUGGUCAACCUUGUUAAGAGGAGUAGUUUAAGAUCUUUUUAAAUUGGUCAAUAUUUCGGUAUUUAACCGAUGUGAAAUUUUUAUCCCGUGAAUCAGCCGAAAAAAGAGGACCAGAUUCUACAGCAGAAUUAUGCACAUCAGCACCUACCUAUACUGCCAAGAAAAGAGGUUCAGAUUAGGAUAAGAUUCUAGUACAGAAUUAUCUCAACUUUCUUUUGAAUUAGAGUGGAAUAUUGUAACAAUAUAUGCUAGUCAGUCUCCUAAGGUAACUCAGUUCAGUUGGUGUAAAUGUCUAUAUAAACUUAUUCAAUGCAUACGUUUGGGAUUAAGCCAAACAAUUCAAAGUC